CAACCCUCAAGCUCUGCUUGGUAUUGAGCCCCGCCAGCGAUGGCGGGCUCUAAAAUCAGUGGCGGUGCCGCUGGGUCCUGAGCGUAGUAAUUCUCUCGCUACAGGUGCCUGGUGCGCGUCUGCCAACAACCCCAAAUUUUUCUAU
rnacentral:misc_RNA from 1 species